AUUGAACGCUGGCGGCAGGCUUAACACAUGCAAGUCGAGCGGGGUGAUGGUGCUUGCACUAUCACUUAGCGGCGGACGGGUGAGUAAUGCUUAGGAAUCUGCCUAUUAGUGGGGGACAACAUCUCGAAAGGGAUGCUAAUACCGCAUACGUCCUACGGGAGAAAGCAGGGGAUCACUUGUGACCUUGCACUAAUAGAUGAGCCUAAGUCGGAUUAGCUAGUUGGUGGGGUAAAGGCCUACCAAGGCGACGAUCUGUAGCGGGUCUGAGAGGAUGAUCCGCCACACUGGGACUGAGACACGGCCCAGACUCCUACGGGAGGCAGCAGUGGGGAAUAUUCGACAAUGGGCGAAAGCCUGAUCCAGCCAUGCCGCGUGUGUGAAGAAGGCCUUAUGGUUGUAAAGCACUUUAAGCGAGGAGGAGGCUCUUUUGGUUAAUACCCAAGAUGAGUGGACGUUACUCGCAGAAUAAGCACCGGCUAACUCUGUGCCAGCCGCCGCCGUAA
rnacentral:rRNA from 1 species